ACUUCGGUACAUCGGUGACAGGUGGUGCAUGGUUGUCGUCAGCUCGUGUCGUGAGAUUGUUGGGUUAAGUCCCGCAACGAGCGCAACCCUAUUGUUAGUUGCCAUCAUUCAGUUGGGCACUCUAGCGAGACUGCCGGUAAUAACCGGAGAAGUGGGGAUGACGUCAAAUCAUCAUGCCCCUUAUGACCUGGGCUACACACGUGCUACAAUGGUUGGUACAACGAGUUGCGAGUCGGUGACGGCGAGCUAAUCUCUUAAAGCCAAUCUCAGUUCGGAUUGUAGGCUGCAACUCGCCUACAUGAAGUCGGAAUCGCUAGUAAUCGCGGAUCAGCACGCCGCGGUGAAUACGUUCCCGGGCCUU
rnacentral:rRNA from 1 species